AAGGACGUGACACGAAGAAUAGCGAUUAAGACUAAGACAGACGGCCGUCGUAAAAAAAAAAACACAAAAUUAGUUUUCACAAGUUUUCUGUUGGCAAGAUGAAGACGUAUGGCGGCCGUCCGGCGUACGGCGGCGGUCCAGUGGACAUUACACACAUGGAGGUGAAAAAAGCUCACCGCCACGCUCAACGAUGGAAAAUACAAACAGCUGUACGGAUGACAAUAACCCACGACGGCGAUGGCAGUGCACUGGUGUGCAUUCCGUAUCGAACAUUUUGCAUAGUUACCACGUAGUAUAGAAAAAGUAGCAAGCAGAUUUAAUGAAAAAAGUUAUUCGAAUUAAAUUAUUUUAUCAGUCUUCUUCAAUUCUUCUUUACAAGCAUCCUCAAUUUUUUCAUAGUUUUUACCUUUCAUACAUUUUAAUGCUAAUUCCAAAUCAAUACUAAAUAAGUUCAAAUAAUAAGUUUAAAUAUGUGUCAAUAAUUAUUAAUAACAAACAUAAUCAGUGGGAUUAUAUUUUGUGAUGUAUGUUAAAAGUGUAGACAAUAUUGUGAAUAGACCAACCAGCUUGUGAGCUUUCACUGUCGGCUCGUCAUGUAGCUGGAUCUUAUUAUUCGAUUUUCGUGUACAAAAAAUGACCCAUACCCAAGUCCAUCGCAAGACACGGUUCGUCGAUGAACAACUAAAUAACUAAAUUUCAAGUUGGAUAUGCAACCGAACAACAAUUUUGAAGAAUCAGACAUGGCUUUAUUGAUGCAGCUACAGCGAAGAAACAGAAGAACGGAAUUUAUUGUGAAAUAAUAUGUGAAAAUAUCUCGAAGGCAUUUUAUUGCUCUGUUUCAUUAUUUUUAUUCUUUUUCUUCGUCAAUUCAUUACAUAUCUCCUCGACGUGUUUAUAUUUUUUUUGUUGGAGGCAUGUAAAAGAUUUUGCAAAACCAGUUCUUGCUAAGUUCGACAAAAAACAAACAUUAAAAAUUAUGUUGCAAGUUAUAACACAUUUUAUUAUAAAGGUAAUACAAUGUGUAUAUUAUAUAAAUAUAUUAUAAUUAUUAUUCAAAGAUAAUUAUGCUAUAUUAUAUUAAUAUAACUUUUUUUUAAAUAAUAAAAAGGCUGAAUCGAGUAAGAAUAAUUUAAAAUAAACUCACUUUACUUCCGAUUCCAUUAAUGAUUCUGUAAAAUUGUUAUUGUAUGGAUCUUCUAUGAAUGAAUUUAAGUAAUUAAGUAUUUUAUUAUAGAAUAAAGAUUUUACAAGAAUUAGAAAAAAGAGUCUAGUUGAGUAAUUAAGUUAUAGAUAAAAAACUAAAUAAAUAUACCACAUAAAAAUAUGUUUGAAUUGUUCGUAACUAUUCCAAAUUCUUCUAGUAACUUUUUGGAUGAUGGUAUAAUGUCAUAUUAUUUUAUCCCCAUGAUUUUUAUUAUUGUACUAAAAAUAAUUUAAGAAAUUAUAUGAAAUAAAUGUUUACUUAUUAAUAA